rnacentral:rRNA from 1 species
UACGAGAGGUCCAAACGUUAUUCGGAAUUACUGGGCUUACAGAGUUCGUAGGCGGCUCUACAAGUGAGGUGUGAAAGCCCUCGGCUCAACCGAGGAACUGCGCUUCAAACUGUAGAACUAGAGGGAGAUAGAGGUGAGCAGAACUGAUGGUGGAGCGGUGAAAUGCGUUGAUAUCAUCAGGAAGACCAGUGGCGAAGGCGGGUCUCUGGACAGUUCCUGACGCUGAGGCACGAAGGUCAGGGGAGCAAACGGG